AGUGUGGUCUCUGACCGGUAGCACAGAAGUCAGCAGGCUCUCCUCCCUCUCUUCAACUGGACUCUGGCGGCAUGACUCACUGCUUAGCUGUGGACCUGCUUCCAUCAGUUCCUGGAUGAAGGUUCUAUGAUGACAAUUAAGAGGCCAGAAGAGGGUGCCAGAUCCCCUGGAGCUGUCUAUAUCUAUUGUGAGCUGCCCCACCUGGGUGCUGGGAGUCAAACUCAAGUCCUACAGCAGAACAGCAAAACCUUUGGACCUCUGAGCAUCCCUCCAGCUCUGAGAUAACAAAAUUUCCUGCACCCUUAUUCCUGCCACCGCGUGCAUUUGU